UGCGUUGGGGGAGCCGGGUCGAGCCGUAACACGCGGGCAAGCAGUACCUGCUCGAAAAGGAGGACACAAGUUGCAGUGCAGGCCGCGACUUUUACUUGGUGUGUUAGUGUGUGCCUGUGUUGACAUCAACCAAGGAACUUCUCUGACACUAUUCGUUAGAAAAGAACGACGCGCACUGCAAAGCAGCUAGCAAGAAGGUGUGCAGAAAAAGGAAAACCAGGUGCUGAAGUGUCAGCUGGACACCUCGGAGAACACAAUCAGUAUGUGUUGUGGAUGCAGCAGACAACUGUAGCAACAUGUAGUGCCUUUGAAUUUUCCUCACAGGUGCAGCCAGGAUUGCAAACACAUUGCGGAGCUCUCCUGCCUAAAGUCCAGCGAAGGAGCAGGAGGUUUCAUUUCGUGUGACAAGGUCUGGGUGAAGCAGAUUCCGGAGGUGAUUAACCAGAUGAGGCUUAGUUAAGGAUCCUGACCAUUUCACUCAGAUUCACUCCAAACAAGAGCUCCUAAUUGUAUACCCCAGGAGCAACAAGAGAGGUCAUGUCUCAACGUGCACCUCAGAACCGGAAAGCGGAUUCAGCAGGGCAGCACAGGACAAGAU